GCUCGACGCUCAGGCCUGGACAAGCUCUAAGGACGCCCAGGCAGUCCACCUAGAGAGCAGGGGACCAUCCAGACUACACCGAGAGGGGCUGGCAGGUCAUUCCCUCGGGGGAUGGAGAGGAGAGAACUGGAGGCCGCUGACAGACGCGGAGAAGAUGAGUGCGAGCCCCCUUCCUCCUAUCCUUUGGCGCACUGACAGCCGGUCAACCGCAAAGAUAAGGACCUCUUCCGCCUGGCGGGAAGUACGUGGACCAGUCCAGGGCUAACUGGUGGGCAAGAAGGGCUGCAGAGACCGCGCAUCACAGAGACAAGGCCUGGAACAGAGACAGGAGACAGGAGACAGGAUAGAGCCAGAGCCGUCUGACACCAGCCAGUCCUUGCUGGGGUGUCUGAACUUCCCAGGAGAACCCCUUGGGGCUGGCCUGUCCCUGGUCCUGAAGAACCUGUGGGAUCAGCAGGUCCUCACCAGUGAGGCUGUCCCUAACAGUCUGCUCUGUCCAAGGAAAUGUGGUCCACGCCCCCUUCAUUCUGUCUUCCUGUCACUUCUACCCAGAGUGCCGAGGGCUGGCUGGACAGAGUGCUGAGAGAUGAGCCAAGGAUGGCCCCAGAUCAACCUUAAUAAUGGGAAAAGGUUUUUACCAACUCCACAUCUGACAGAGGACUGAUAUGCAAAAUAUAUAAAGUAUCAAAAAAAACUGGGCAUCAAGGAAG
rnacentral:lncRNA from 1 species